AUUCUGAUAAAUUUUAUAGCUGAAAUAAGUUGAAACAAUCUAGAAUAAAAAUAUGAAAUUACUGGCAUUCAUUUUAGUUGUCGGUUGCAUUGCUGCCAGUGUAAUGGGUGCUACAUCACAUACUCUGAGAGGGGUUAUUAACCAAUCUAACAUGGAUUUGCAUCAAUAAUAAAUGCCAUUAAUUUUUUUAUAUGUUAAAUGUACAAUUUAAUAAUUUUUUUAAAUUUAACUAAAAUAAAUUAAUGAAGAACGUAGCCAGCAAAAACAUAA